rnacentral:rRNA from 1 species
UGAACGCUGGCGGCGUGCCUCAUACAUGCAAGUCGAGCGAACAGACGCGGAGCUUGCUCCUCUGACGUUAGCGGCGGACGGGUGAGUAACACGUGGAUAACCUACCUAUAAGACUGGGAUAACUUCGGGAAACCGGAGCUAAUACCGGAUAAUAUAUUGAACCGCAUGGUUCCAUAGUGAAAGACGGUUUUGCUGUCACUUAUAGAUGGAUCCGCGCCGCAUUAGCUAGUUGGUAAGGUAACGGCUUACCAAGGCAACGAUGCGUAGCCGACCUGAGAGGGUGAUCGGCCACACUGGAACUGAGACACGGUCCAGACUCCUACGGGAGGCAGCAGUAGGGAAUCUUCCGCAAUGGGCGAAAGCCUGACGGAGCAACGCCGCGUGAGUGAUGAAGGUCUUCGGAUCGUAAAACUCUGUUAUUAGGGAAGAACAAAUGUGUAAGUAACUAUGCACGUCUUGACGGUACCUAAUCAGAAAGCCACGGCUAACUACGUG